AGGCGUUGACACGGGGGCUUCGGCCGGGCAAUGGGCUCGGGCGUGGCUGAGAUGAGGGUUUCCUCGACCGAUUGAACGUGAAUCCGGGUAAUGCCGGCGCACGGACGUCGCUCUUUUCCCGUG
rnacentral:ncRNA from 1 species